rnacentral:lncRNA from 1 species
AGGAAGAAAGGAAAGAAUAAAAGAGAAAGAGAGAAGAAGAAGAGAGAAGAGAGGAAUUAAGAAGAGAAUAAGAUAGAAGAGAAGAAGAGAGAAGAAAAGAGGAAGAGAUAAAAGAAGAGAGAAGAAGAGAAAGAGAUAUGAGAGAAGAAGAAGAGAAGAGAGAAUUGCAAGAGCAAGAAAAUAGAGAGAAAGAGCAAUUGUUAUUAAGGGCAAUUCUUACUCUUACCAUAACCAUGGAACCUAAAAGGGAAGGUUUCCAACUCUUUACUUCUUUUCCAGUCAUUGUUCAAUCUUCAAAUAUUAUUUUCUCUUUCAAACCAAUUGCCAUCCCAUAUUCAAUGCAAACGGUUUUCAAAAUAUGGCAAUUCAAAUCUUGAGUUAUUGUUAUCUUCAAAGAAACAAGUAACUCAAGACAAAAGUGAAUUUGGACUUCUAAAAUAUUCAAAGAUGACAAAUCAAAAUACUA